AGAGUUUGAUCAUGGCUCAGGAUGAACGCUGGCGGUGCGCCUAAUGCAUGCAAGUCGAGCGACGCAUGCCGGAGGGGUAACCCACUGGUAUGACGGAGCGGCGAACGGGUGAGUAACACGUGAGCAACCUGCCCCGCAGACCGGGAUAGCCCAGGGAAACCUGGAUUAAUACCGGAUACCCUCGGAUGACCACAUGGAAAACCGAGGAAAAGCCUUUGUGCUGUGGGAUGGGCUCGCGGCUUAUCAGCUAGUUGGUGGGGUAAAGGCCUACCAAGGCAUCGACGAGUAGCUGGUCUGAGAGGACGAUCAGCCACACUGGAACUGAGACACGGUCCAGACUCCUACGGGAGGCAGCAGCAGGGAAUCUUGCGCAAUGGGCGAAAGCCUGACGCAGCGACACCGCGUGGGGGAUGAAGGCCUUCGGGUUGUAAACCCCUUUCAGGAGGGAAGAAAUUGACGGUACCUCCAAAAGAAGGACCGGCCAACUACGUGCCAGCAGCCGCGGUAAUACGUAGGGUCCUAGCGUUAUCCGGAAUCAUUGGGCGUAAAGAGCUCGUAGGCGGUUCAGCAAGUCGGCUGUGAAAGUCCGAGGCUCAACCUCGGAAUUGCAG
rnacentral:rRNA from 1 species